UGAAUACAUAGGUUAACGAGGCGAACCGGGGGAACUGAAACAUCUAAGUACCCCGAGGAAAAGAAAUCAACCGAGAUUCCCCCAGUAGCGGCGAGCGAACGGGGAGCAGCCCGGAGUCUGAAUCAGCGUGUGUGUUAGUGGAACGGUCUGGAAAGUCCGACGGUACAGGGUGAUAGUCCCGUACACGAAAAUGCACAUGCUGUGAACUCGAAGAGUAGGGCGGGACACGUGGUAUCCUGUCUGAAUAUGGGGGGA
rnacentral:rRNA from 1 species